GGGGGGCUCCGGGCCAAUCGCCUUAGUCCCCGCGGCCUCGGCCCCCUCCCCGUGCCCUGCGGAACCCUCCGGCCUUCGCUGGGGGAAGGAGGAGAGAUGGGGAAGGAUGGGGGCUUCGAUUGCAGCCCCUUCUCUCUCUCUCUCUCUCUCUCCCUGUCCCGGUGUCCCCUCCGCCGGUAGUUUUCAGAACGAGGUGACGGCCUGCUAGACGGAGCCCCGCUGUCUCCCCCGCUCCUCCCGGCCGGGGCUGGGCUGGGCUGGGAAGGGAGCGAGGACACUGAUGGCGCGCCAGCCGUUCAGGCCCCUGGCGUCGCUGGCCCCGGAGUGUACUUGUAGCUCACGCUUCCCCCGCGGCCAGCGCCUCCUGCCUUUCUUUGAGCGCCUGCGAGGCGCGACGGCCCCAAGGGAUCCGCCCGGGAAUGGCCGCAGUCUCCGGGGAAGCUCUCCACUCCCAGAGACUGUGAUUCUGGGCCCCCUCACGAUCCCCCAGACAGGGGUACGUGCAUUUGGCUGUCGGAUUCCAGCGUACCCGGAAUCUGCCCACCCGCCUCGGUUCUUCUACAAAAUCCAGUGGUCUCCUUUAGGAGACCUUGGCCCGGGUGAUGGGUUGUGGGGAACCACCUACAGGAAGGGACUGCUGGAAGCAGAACAGCCCUCAACCUGAAAGGACCCGUGCCCAAAUUGAAGGGCAGGCAUCUCCUUCUCCCCCUCCUCGCCCUUCCCUUAUGCUCACAAACCCCAGCUCCCUGCUACUUUUUAUAACGCUUUAUUCAAGAAUCCUGCUACACAUCCAGAAAACAAUCCCACCCUACAGAAUUCAUUUCUGCACUCCAAAUGCUGGGCGCCAGACGGGCUCAGAUACCCAGUGUUGGUGAGGACAAGAAGGGUUACAGCUACAUGUGACCAGUGGCUGCCGUAUCAGACCACUUCCAAAUGGAAGCAAGUCCCAGAAGACCAGGAAGUCACCCCAGGUGGGCAGCGAGCAGAAAGAGAAGAGACGUCCGGUCCGGAGUGCAUUGUGCUGGGAAGACUAAGUCACGUUCAGGCAACUUUUGUCUCAGUUGUUUGAGUACAUUUUGUGUCCUGGUUGGCAUGAAAAUGUAUUCUUACUGGGAGUCACAGUGAGGAAUGGGCGAGGCUCGAGGCUAUAGUGACCAGAGUCUCCUGUCUCCUUGGUGGAGGAGGGAAAGAGGCUGAGAGGGACCAGGGGACCCACCCACAAGUCACACAGCCAGAGGAGCUGUUCUGGAGCCCAGCUUCCCAGGCUCUGAGUUCUGAGCCUGCAUUUCAUGGCUUCUUCCCUGACCUUGACCUCUAUCACCAUUGUUAUGACCCCCCCCCCCCCACACACACAUACAAUAAAGGACUGCCUUGUGGUCAGCCCCACCAGGGCACACCUGUCCCCGGGUCAGCCAUACCUCCUCCUCAGUCCUCAACCUCAAUUCCCAAAAAGGUCCCUUCAGUCUUUAUAAAAGAGAAAGCCCCAGAGGCCUGACCUCCCCGUGGCCCCCUCCUCCCUGGCCUGGAGCAUCGGCUGUUGACUGCAGCUGCCCUGAGGCUGAGGGGAGCCACAGGUGUGGGACCAGACCUCCCCAGGCUGCAGGCCUGCUGGCCUCCUCCGGCCCCAGCCUGCUGUUGACCUUCAGUGGGUCUUGGCAAGGCACUCAGCAAGGCCCCAGAGGAGACCCCCGAAGGGAAACACAAACCUCGAAAUGGAUUUUCUUUUUCUCCACGAGCAAAAAAAAGUUGAAUAAGAAACAAGUUACUAUUUUUACUGCUGGGAUCCAGUUGUUAUGGUAACUGAGGGCCUCGAGGGAGUCAGGGUUGGCCUGCCAGUGAAGGAGAUGAGGUGGGUUCCAGGGGCAGCGGUGGCAGCCACCGGACGAGCCUUGGACUACCUACGGACUGUGGGAUUUCUGGCACCCCUGCCCCUGGCUCUGCGCCGCCCCCCCCCCCCCUGCCGUGACGGAAGGCCACCGGUGCCCAUCUAACCCUGGCCGGUGGCCUCUGGCAACUUCUCCCUUUGGUGCAAGCCCACCAUCUCCUGCUGGCUGUGUGGUCUCGGGCUCCCCCCGCCUUGUCGCCGAGCCUGUCCUUCACGGCUCCUGGGGGGGGGGCGGGGUGUCAUUGUGCCCUUGUCUCCACAUGCAGCUUUCGACCCCCACCACAGUGACCACCACGGGCACCUGAGCGAUCAGCCCCACGAGCCCUGCUGGCCAAAACCCAAUUCUUCCCUCUGCCAUUCCUCUUCCAGCCCCCUCUCCAGAAGGCGGCCCCACACCACCCCCUGGGCCCGGUUGGCCGUGGCUGGAAGCUCUGAACGCGGCCUUCCCAGCAUCCGAGGCCGGCCUCCACCUCCACCUAGCUUUGUGCCCUGAACCCAGGUGCUUCCCAUUCGAGGCUAUUUCCCCACUUGUAAAGUGGAAGUUAACAGCACCCACCCUGCAGGAUUGCUGAAGGAACAAAGGCCACCUGGGCCCGAUGUUAUUACUGGCAAUGUGUCUCCCCGUUCAGUCCCCUCUGUAGCACUACAUGGUAGGAGGUGCCGUUCCUAAUUUGCGGACAAGGAGCCGUGCUCAGGCAGGCCAAGUCCCACAGCAAGCCACACAGCACAUCUGUCUGUGCUGAAGUGCCCUGCACUGCAUGGGCACUGAUUAAACACCUACUGUGUUCCUGGCUCAUCAGAUGCGCAGAGUGGCAAGCAGGUAGGGAGAUAACACCCCCCACCACCACACGCCCACCAACCACCAGAGCUUUUCAUCCCUUCCCUAGAGCCCUGACCACGUCACCAGUCUCCUCCCACACGACCGACCUCUGCCAUCUGUCCCCAGGACCCAAUGGCACCCUCUGAUGUGAUCCUUCUCCUCCCUCCUAGCGACUUCCAUCCCCGAUCAGUAGCUACGACAUGGGCCCCUAUAUACGCCUAGCAGUGUCUGCCUGCAAAGUCCUUGUUGUCUCUGGCAAAGCCACAAAUCUUCCCUACCAGAGUGACUUUCUGAAACGCAAGUCUGACGAAGCCCUUCUCCCUAAAAGCCUUCAGUGGCUCCCACUGCUUUCAGGAUGGAGUCAGGAUAGAAAAACGUCCUCACCCACUGUGCACACGCAAUAAAUGAAUCCAAACUCCCCCCAAACAUGCAUGGCUUUCUCGUGCUCUGUGGCUACACAGAUGCUGUUCCCUCUGCCCGGAAGGCCUUUCCUCCUUAGUUUGCCUGGCAGAUCUCUAUUUAUUCUUCCAGACCCAGUUUAAAGUUCUCCUUUGUUGGACCUUUAGGGGAAAUGGCUUCUCCUCCCUUUUAUGCCACCUUUGGACCAGCGUCCGGGCCCCACGGGAUCAUCUUGUAGGUACCCACCAGCCAAGGACUACCAGGACCGGUGCCUGUGGGAUGGGGCAACUCUCUGAAAUGUAAACAUAAUGAAAGCUCAGAUAUCGACAUUGAAGCCGUCUUCAGGCACGGGGCCACCAGUUUGCAAACGUCACUCUUUCACGGCGCCCUCCACUUUCUUUGGGCUCUCGGCCACUCCCUAUACCUUCAAAUAGUACCUGUAUCUGUAGCUUAGCUAUAAUCUAUCUAUACAUAUAUGCACGUGUAUAUAUACACGUACGUGUAUAUGCAGACACUUGUGUAUUCUAUAUACACGUGUAUAUCUCAGAUUUUAUAAUGUAUAUUCCAGAUUACAUGUGAUGUAUGGUAUUAAAUAACAAAACUUCAAACCUAGUAAAAUUUAAAGAUAUAA